rnacentral:rRNA from 1 species
UACGUAGGGGGCAAGCGUUGUCCGGAUUUAUUGGGCGUAAAGAGCUCGUAGGUGGUUCGGUAAGUCGGAUGUGAAAUCUCCAGGCUCAACCUGGAGGGGUCAUUCGAUACUGCCGUGACUAGAGUUCGGUAGGGGAGUGUGGAAUUCCUGGUGGAGCGGUGAAAUGCGCAGAUAUCAGGAGGAACACCCGUAGCGAAGGCGGCACUCUGGGCCGAUACUGACACUGAGGAGCGAAAGCCAGGGGAGCAAACGGG